rnacentral:rRNA from 1 species
CUCCGCCUGGGGAGUACGGCCGCAAGGCUGAAACUCAAAAGAAUUGACGGGGGCCCGCACAAGCGGUGGAGCAUGUGGUUUAAUUCGACGCAACGCGAAGAACCUUACCAGGUCUUGACAUCCUCUGCAAUCGGUAGAGAUACCGAGUUCCCUUCGGGGACAGAGUGACAGGUGGUGCAUGGUUGUCGUCAGCUCGUGUCGUGAGAUGUUGGGUUAAGUCCCGCAACGAGCGCAACCCUUGAUCUUAGUUGCCAGCAUUUAGUUGGGCACUCUAAGGUGACUGCCGGUGACAAACCGGAGGAAGGUGGGGAUGACGUCAAAUCAUCAUGCCCCUUAUGACCUGGGCUACACACGUGCUACAAUGGAUGGAACAAAGGGAAGCAAAACCGCGAGGUCAAGCAAAUCCCAUAAAACCAUUCUCAGUUCGGAUUGCAGGCUGCAACUCGCCUGCAUGAAGCCGGAAUCGCUAGUAAUCGCGGAUCAGCAUGCCGCGGUGAAUACGUUCCCGGGCCUUGUACACACCGCCCGUCACACCACGAGAGUUGGUAACACCCGAAGUCGGUGAGGUAACCUUUGGAGCCAGCCGCC